UGAUAGCAAUGAAGCGAGAAGUUGCAGUCUUAAUGGCUGGUAAUUCCGUGGAGCGAAUGUCAAGUCGAGAAACUGGCGACAA
rnacentral:ncRNA from 1 species